CCUACGGGUGGCUGCAGUGAGGAAUAGUGGUCAAUGGACGAGAGUCUGAACCAGCCAAGUAGCGUGAAGGAUGACUGCCCGAUGGGUUGUAAACUUCGUUUAUAUGGGAAUAAAAUGGUCCACGUGUGGGAUUUUGUAUGUACCAUAUGAAUAAGGAUCGGCUAACUCCGUGCGAGCAGGCGCGGUAAGACGGAGGAGCCGAGCGUUAUCCGGCUUUAUUGGGUUUAACGGGAGCGUAGGGGGAUUGUUAAGUCAGUUGUGAAAGUUUGCGGCUCAACCGUAAAAUUGCAGUUGAAACUGGCAGUCUUGCGUACAGUAGAGCUGGGCGGCAUUCGUGUUGUAGCGG
rnacentral:rRNA from 1 species